CCCAACCUUCUUUAAUGAAGAUGCCUUCGAUAAGGGCCAAGUAUGCCAAACUCCGUGGCGGAUCGGA
rnacentral:tRNA from 1 species